rnacentral:rRNA from 1 species
GAUAAACGCUGGCGGCGUGCCUAAAACAUGCAAGUCGAACGGACACUUCGGUGUCAGUGGCGGACGGCUGAGUAACACGUGGGUGACCUGCCCCGGAGCGGGGGAUAACUGCCCGAAAGGGUGGCUAAUACCGCAGACAUCAAGGAUUCGGUUUCAGGAUUGAACCUUUGGGGUUCUGGGAGGGGCCCGCGGCCGAUUAGCUAGCUGGUGGGGUAACGGCCUACCAGGGCGACGAUCGGUAGCUGGUCUGAGAGGAUGAUCAGCCAGACUGGGACUGCGAACGGCCCAGACUCCUACGGGAGGCAGCAGUUAGGAAUUUUGGGCAAUGGGCGAAAGCCUGACCCAGCAACGCCGCGUGGGUGAUGAAGGCCCUCGGGUCGUAAAGCCCUUUUCCCAGGGACGAUGGUGACGGUACCUGGGGAAUCAGCCCCGGCUAACUACGUGCCAGCCGCCGCCGUAACAC